UAAUUGGUUGUUAAACACCCAGUGGUUAGC
rnacentral:piRNA from 1 species